CGCUAGGCUUGGCCGGGGAGCUAGGCCCUCCCUCGCCACCGCCUCUGGCGGUGGUGCCGCAAUAUGGUCUAUAGCGGGGCGACGGCCGGGGGCGGCGCAACCGGAACCCCGCAGGGCCGACCGCCAACUGUGAGGCCUCGUCCCUCGGGGCUGGAGGUGGUGUGCAGGGGCUUCCGGAGGGAAGCUCCGGCACCUUGGCUGUGGGGACCGGGUCAGGCCCGGAAGGGAGCAGCCUAACCGCAGACUACCGGCGCUCGUGGGGUUGCGGGGCUGAGAAGGCGGGAGGAGCAACCCAGCGGGGGUCUAGGGCGUCCACCCCGGCUGGCCUAGCA
rnacentral:SRP_RNA from 2 species